UACGGAGGGAGCUAGCGUUAUUCGGAAUUACUGGGCGUAAAGCGCACGUAGGCGGCUUUGUAAGUUAGAGGUGAAAGCCUGGAGCUCAACUCCAGAACUGCCUUUAAGACUGCAUCGCUUGAAUCCAGGAGAGGUGAGUGGAAUUCCGAGUGUAGAGGUGAAAUUCGUAGAUAUUCGGAAGAACACCAGUGGCGAAGGCGGCUGACUGGACACAUAUUGACGCUGAGGUGCGAAAGCGUGGGGAGCAAACAGG
rnacentral:rRNA from 1 species